AGAGUUUGAUCCUGGCUCAGGACGAACGCUGGCGGCGUGCCUAAUACAUGCAAGUCGAGCGGAGUUAUUCCUUCGGGGAUAACUUAGCGGCGGACGGGUGAGUAACACGUAGGCAACCUGCCUGUAAGACUGGGAUAACUACCGGAAACGGUAGCUAAGACCGGAUACACAACUUGAUCGCAUGGUUGAGUUGGGAAAAG
rnacentral:rRNA from 1 species